rnacentral:rRNA from 1 species
CAAUAGCGUAUAUUUAAGUUGCUGCAGUUAAAAAGCUCGUAGUUGGAUUUCGGGUGGGAAUGGCCGGUCCGCCGUUUCGGUGUGCACUUGCUACGCCCACCUUGCUGCCGGGGACGUGCUCUUGAGUUCACGCUCGGGACACGGAGUCGGCGAGGUUACUUUGAGUAAAUUAGAGUGUUCAAAGCAGGCCUACGCUCUGAAUACAUUAGCAUGGAAUAACACGAUAGGACUCUGGCCUAUCUUGUUGGUCUGUAGGACCGGAGUAAUGAUUAAGAGGGACAGUCGGGGGCAUUCGUAUUUCAUUGUCAGAGGUGAAAUUCUUGGAUUUAUGAAAGACUAACUACUGCGAAAGCAUUUGCCAAGGAUGUUUUCAUUAA